rnacentral:tRNA from 1 species
GCGGGGGUGGCCGAGCGGCUAAGGCGCGGGACUCAAGAUCCCGUGGGCAUAGGCCCGUCCGGGGUUCAAAUCCCUGCCCCCGCA